UACAGAGGGUGCGAGCGUUUAAUCGGAAUUACUGGGCGUAAAGGGCGCGUAGGCGGCCUGCUAAGUCGAACGUGAAAUCCCUGGGCUCAACCCAGGAACUGCGUCCGAUACUGGUUGGCUUGAAUCCGGGAGAGGGAUGCGGAAUUCCAGGUGUAGCGGUGAAAUGCGUAGAUAUCUGGAGGAACACCGGUGGCGAAGGCGGCAUCCUGGACCGGCAUUGACGCUGAGGCGCGAAAGCCAGGGGAGCAAACGGG
rnacentral:rRNA from 1 species